UGCAUAUCAAAAAAGCGGAGGAAAAGAAACUAACAAGGAUUCCCCUAGUAACGGCGAGUGAAGCGGGAAGAGCUCAAAUUUGAAAUCUGGUAGCCUUCGGUUGCCCGAGUUGUAAUCUAGAGAAGUGUUUUCCGUGCCGGCCCAUGUACAAGUCCCUUGGAACAGGGCGUCAUAGAGGGUGAGAAUCCCGUCCUUGACAUGGACCCCCGGUGCUUUGUGAUACACUUUCAACGAGUCGAGUUGUUUGGGAAUGCAGCUCAAAAUGGGUGGUGAAUUCCAUCUAAAGCUAAAUAUUGGCGAGAGACCGAUAGCGAACAAGUACCGUGAGGGAAAGAUGAAAAGCACUUUGGAAAGAGAGUUAAACAGUACGUGAAAUUGUUGAAAGGGAAACGAUUGAAGUCAGUCAUGCUCUUAGGAUUCAGCCGUUCUGCGGUGUAUUUCCUUUGAGUGGGGUCAACAUCAGUUUUGAUCGAUGGAUAAAGGCACGAGGAAGGUAGCACUCUCGGGUGAACUUAUAGCCUCGCGUCAUAUACAUUGAUUGGGACUGAGGAACGCAGCAUGCCUUUAUGGCCGGGAUUCGUCCACGUACAUGCUAGGUAUGUGACAUAGGUC
rnacentral:rRNA from 1 species